rnacentral:rRNA from 1 species
ACACGUAGGGCGCAAGCGUUGUCCGGAUUUAUUGGGCGUAAAGAGCUCGUAGGCGGUUUCGUAAGUCGGGUGUGAAAACUCAGGGCUCAACUCUGAGACGCCACUCGAUACUGCGAUGACUAGAGUCCGGUAGAGGAGCAUGGAAUUCCUGGUGUAGCGGUGAAAUGCGCAGAUAUCAGGAGGAACACCAGUAGCGAAGGCGGUGCUCUGGGCCGGUACUGACGCUGAGGAGCGAAAGCGUGGGGAGCAAACAGGAUUAGAAACCCCAGUAGUCC